CUGGCCGGUGUGGAAAAUUGGAUGCUGGACUAGCUGAAUCCACUCUGUUCCAGCAGGCCCUUCUCCAGUUCUAGGCUCAGUCUAAGAUGGAGCUGUGCAAAACUACAAGACAAGUUGCAGGACUGCCUCCAGAUUUCAUGUUCCAAAAGAAGUAAACUGCCCAGAGAUGGAAAUUUGGGGCAGAAUUGCUUAGAACUGCUAUUACAGUUGCGCAGAUGGGAAACAAGCAUGCAUGCUGUACUACCCCAAAGCAAUACCAGUUCAAAAUCCUGAUAUUCUGACAAGCUGCUUCUGCCCAUCAGAAACUUCUUUCUUUUCCAAUAAAUUAAGAAUGUAUUUCCCCCAUUCUACCCACAUUCAGAUUGCAAAAACUGUUUCUUUCACGACUCACUCAGGAAAAUGGAUGUGACACAAACUUCAAUAACUUCUUAUAAUAUCUCAAAAAUAAUCCCAGCUUUAGAAGGAUCAUAUGGUUCUGGUUUAAAUCCCAGCAAUGUAAUGCAGUAACAAGGCCCUACACAGCACAUAAAUGGAAAUCUCUAAACUAACCUAGUGUAGUGGUUUGAAAAAAAUUAGGCAAUUGUUACCAUGUACAAACUUAGCAGGUACAGCAAGACAGAAAUUUUAAUUUUAGAAUACUUUUCACUUCCCAAUUUGGACUGGGUUGUUCUUGUUUCUAAACAGCUAGCAAUCUUUUUCUCAUCCUAUUUUAUGGUCCAUACGUCCAUCAACAAGCUAGACAGACAUAUGGAAAUGAGGUUAUUUUCCCCCUUCACAUUUCUUUUAAUUUGUAAAAGCACCAAAGAGUCCUUAAAAACUAAUGCAUCAAUUCUAGCAUAAGCUUUCCUGGACUAGAGUCAACUUAAUCUGAUGAAAUGGACUCCAGUUCACAAAAACUUAGGCAACAAUAGAUGUUUUAAGAUACCACAAAGAUUGAUAUUUUCCCUGCAACAGACUGGAAAGUUUUUAAUUUGUAGUUAUACUGUGUGUGGU